rnacentral:tRNA from 1 species
CCUUCGAUAGCUCAGUUGGAAGAGCGGAGGACUGUAGAUCCUUAGGUCGCUGGUUCAACUCCGGCUCGAAGGA